CAGGAUGCCGGAGCAGGAGGUGCACACGAAGCUGCCCACGGUCAUGUCGGUGUAGGUGGGGCCCCGCUGGUCGCAGUCGAAGCACUUGCGGUUGGGCGGGAGGCUGCUCAUCUCCCGCAGCAGCUUCAGAGGGACAUGCCAGAGGAGAGUGGAACCCUUCAAACCACAGAGUACAUUCAUACUUGAUCCUGUUACAGCAAUAGAAAUACAAGGGUUGUUGGAAACUGCCUGACUGAAAACAUGCUGAAAUAGCAUCACAUGAUAUUUGAG